CUACGGGAGGCUGCAGUGGGGAAUAUUGCACAAUGGAGGAAACUCUGAUGCAGCAACGCCGCGUGGAGGAUGGCACUUUUCGGAGCGUAAACUCCUUUUAUAUAGGAAGAAGAUGACGGUACUAUAUGAAUAAGCGCCGGCUAACUCCGUGCCAGCAGCCGCGGUAAUACGGAAGGCGCAAGCGUUACUCGGAAUCACUGGGCGUAAAGAGCGUGUAGGCGGAUUAAAAAGUCAGAAGUGAAAUCCUAUAGCUUAACUAUAGAACUGCUUCUGAAACUCUUAAUCUAGAAUAUGGGAGAGGUAGAUGGAAUUUCUGGUGUAGGGGUAAAAUCCGUAGAGAUCAGAAGGAAUACCGAUUGCGAAGGCGAUCUACUAGAACAUUAUUGACGCUGAGACGCGAAAGCGUGGGGAGCAAACAGGAUUAGAUACCCGUGUAGUC
rnacentral:rRNA from 1 species